rnacentral:rRNA from 1 species
GACAUCCUACGGGGCGCAGCAGUAGGGAAUCUUCCACAAUGGGCGAAAGCCUGAUGGAGCAACGCCGCGUGGGUGAAGAAGGUCUUCGGAUCGUAAAACCCUGUUGUUAGAGAAGAACGUGCGUGAGAGUAACUGUUCACGUUUCGACGGUAUCUAACCAGAAAGCCACGGCUAACUACGUGCCAGCAGCCGCGGUAAUACGUAGGUGGCAAGCGUUAUCCGGUUUUAUUGGGCGUAAAGGGAACGCAGGCGGUCUUUUAAGUCUGUUGUGAACGCCUUCGGCUUAAU